rnacentral:misc_RNA from 1 species
GAUGAAGAACGUAGCGAAAUGCGAUAAGUAAUGUGAAUUGCAGAAUUCAGUGAAUCAUCGAAUCUUUGAACGCACAUUGCGCCCGCCAGUAUUCUGGCGGGCAUGCCUGUUCGAGCGUCAUUACAACCCUCAGGCCCCCGGGCCUGGCGUUGGGGAUCGGCGGAAGCCCCCUGCGGGCACAACGCCGUCCACCAAAUACAGUGGCGGUCCCGCCGCAGCUUCCAUUGCGUAGUAGCUAACACCUCGCAACUGGAGAGCGGCGCGGCCACGCCGUAAAACACCCAACUUCUGAAUGUUGACCUCGAAUCAGGUAGGAAUACCCGCUGAACUUAAGCAUAUCAAUAAGCGGAGGA